CCCUUCACACGCGAUCGCGAACGGACGUGCGCUGGCUAAAUUAAGUCGAAUUGUUUUACACCGGUAUGAGAUUGUGAUUAACAAAUAAACUAUGAGGUUAUUCAUAUUUUGUGUUGUGUUACUUGCGGUGGGCGGCGCUGUUAAAGCCCAACAGAACUAUGGCCCAGAAUACUGGGAUUACGAGAAUGAAUAUGACUUUGAUAAUGGCUUAGAUGAUGCAGACUCAAAACAAGAAGACAUCGACCAACCAGUUGAAAUACUAGAUGUUGAACAAAAGACUGAAGCACAGACUGAAGCGGACAAAAUUGAUGGCUUCCCAGACUACCAGAUCGAAGACAACAGAUCAAAUUCUGGAGAAAACAAACAAAUCGAUCCAGAAAUACUGCCUGAAGUAAAGAAUGAUACUGUUAUAGAUGAGGAAGCUGAACUGCAUAAAGUUUUACCCCUUGAGGAGCCUAAAGGAUUACCAGAUCAGAUCAGUGAAGUGUUCAAAGAUCUCGGCAUCGAAGGUGACACGUUUGACGAUCAGCCAGAAGACAAUGAUGCUCCUCUACCGGUGCCAGCUGCAGAACCAAAAGUUGAAGCUGAAGAUACUCCAGAUAACUCAAACGAAGCCCAAGAUUACUUAGACCAGUUCUACCAAGAUGCACCAGUCGAUGAUCAGGCAAUCAAUGAAAUAAUUGAAGAAACGAACAAACUAUUGUCAGAUAAUGAUGAUGCGUUUGAUGACAAUGAUUUCGAUAACUCUAAUGAACAGGAACAGGACAACAGUGAUGAAGACGUAUUCAGUGAAAACGAUGACAAAGUUGAGGAAGACACACCAGAGAAAGUAUAUGCUGACUUGAAUGGUGACUUGGCGAAAUUAUUAGAAACAUUCGAUAAAUUAAGAGACUCAGAUGAGGAUAAGGAUACUGCUGAAGAAGCCGCUGAUGACGAUAUACAGGACUAUGAAGAGAAAUACGGCAAACCUUACAAAGAAGAUGUUGUCAUGUCAUGGAGAAACGCAGAAGCCGACGCUGCUGAGCCAGAAGAUUCUAACCAAGACGAUGAAAUUGCUGAUGACGUCAACAAAGAAACAGUAGAAGAGAAUCUGGUUUCAGAUGAAGAGAAUGACAGCGAUGACUACGAACAAAUUGACGAUAGCAAUCUAUCUCAAAUAUUUGCUGACGUUGCGGAGGCUGACGAAGAUAAGGCUUCAAGUGAGAAUGACGAACAAGAACUUGUUGCUCUCGAAACAACAACCACAACAGUUGAUGUAGAAACAACAACAGCAACAAUUGAGAAAAAUGACGAAGCUAAGGAGGCUUUUGACCUUGAUGUUGAACAAAGGGCUAGUUUAAUAGAAAAUCCGCAACCAUACGGAAAUGAUGCUUUGGUUGACGAGAACCAGCCGAAGAAUGAAGAUGCUGUUGAAUUUGAAGCUGUUGACGACAAAGAAAACAAAACCGUGAUGGUCGAUGACUUGUCGAGUGCAGAGCUCAGUGAUAUCAUGAAACAGUUUGUUGUGGCCCACAGUGAAGAUUUGGACGUAAACUCAGAAACUUUCUCGAAGCAUAUAGCUCCUAUUCAUGUAACUCUUUCAGUAGACGAGCCUACUGUUGUGACUUCUCCUGAAUAUCCUAAUCCCUACCCUGCUAACACUAUCAUUGAUUGGAUAUUCGAAGGCCCGGGCACUGGUAUUGAGCUGAACAUCACUGACUUUGCUGUCAACGGAGCGAUAGGCGACUACCUUCUUGUGAAACCAGGUGGUGUGGACGCCAGUGGUAAUGACGGUUUGAUAUUCUCGUACCGCCUGAACUCGGUGCGCAAGUAUCGCUUCUCUGACGUCAACCGUAUGUUCGUGAGGUUCGAAGCUAAAGAGUCUUUCUGGCAGAACCAGAAAGGUUUCUCUUUCAGCGUCAAACUUAUGUGGCCUCUUCCUCAAAUCGGUGAAGAGAUUCCCGAACCAGAGCCCGUGAUCAGACCUCCUGAGGAGACUCUAACCCUCAACCUAGCUGGGCUAACCCUGCCGAAGUUCAGGGAGAUCAAACAGGACUUCAUCGAACUUAUCGCUGACAUGGCCAAGGCGUACAUCAUUGAAAAUGACAUCGAUCAAGGACUUAAUACCACGUAUGAAGUCACUCAGAUCACCAGGACUGGCGUCUGCAACAUCCAAUGGCCGGAGUACGAGAACUGCGUGGAGGUGACCUUCGGGGUUCCUCUCCACUACGAUGAAGAGUCGGAGUCAGGGCCGAGGCUCAAUGCUAAGGAACUGGAUGACAUGUGGACUACUUACGUUAUCAAGGAACAGUUCUCUGAGAGACUAAGGUCUUUGGGCAUCACGGAGUACGCGAUCCCCGACGACCGGUCGGUGCUGCUGGUGUGGCUGGUGAUAGCUGUCGGGGUGCUCAUCUCCAUGGCCAUGCUGGCUGUCGCUCUCUGGCGGUUCAACUGCUUCGAGGACUACUCCAGGAUGAAGCCUUACGGAGACACAGACAGCAUCCAGAACGAGAAGCGUCACCUGGACCUGUACCCCACGCCGCACCAGACGCUCCCGCCGCUCUACGCCGAGAACGACUACAAGUGGGCUGAUGACAAGUACGAUGAUUCUACCAGAGUGGAUAUGGGAGGCUUUGCCAACAAGAGUUAUAUCCGGGACGAGUUGUAUGACCUCGACUCCGACGAGGAUGUCAUCACGCCACGCGACAGGUAUGCUACAAACGUGUAGCCGGCUUCAUAGUGUUUGCUCCAAUGGAAAGGCAUAGUCAGUCCGAGGGAUUUCUAUGACGCGUAAGGGGUGUACGUAAGGAUAUUCCACACUGUAUCGAUAUCGAUAAAUGGACUGAACUUAUCGAUACAUAUUAUCGUGCUUUACAUUAUACAACAUAUCGCUUUAAAUAUAUUGUGAAUGUUAAUUCUGUUGUUUUAGCGGUCGAUUUAUCGAUGUCGAUAAAUGGCUAGAUUGAAUUUAAAUAACGUAGUAAGGUAUAUUGUAAGAUUUAAUUGUUGAUUUUAUGUGAUUUUUAAAUAGUUUUAGUAAUUUGUGAAUAAUGUCGAUAAGUAUUUUUGAAUAUGGUGAAUAAUUGGCCAUAUGCUUUUCUUUUAUAUAAUUUUUCAACAAAAAGAAUAAGGAUCGUUUAUCUUUAAUUAAAAAUAAAUUAAAGUGAUUGCAUUUACCUACGUAACUUCUAAAAAUGACACCUUAUUAUGAUUAUUUGAUUAAUUGAUUUUUGGCAUUCCAUUUUUAUACUCAUUAAUUGUAAUUAACCUUGAAAUAUUUUAUCGACAAUAUUCUCAAGAAAUCAAAUAAUAUAAUGUAAUAAAUAGAUAUUAUACCGUUGUAUACUUAAUAGAUAUAUAAAUAUACAUACAACUAGACUUUGUAAAGUACAUGAUAAUAAAAACGUUGUGAUUUUAUUAUUUUUUUUUUAUAAAAACAAAACUUUAACUUCUGUUGUAAAUUAUUUCUAUUUUUUUAUAUUAUUUUUGUUUUCAGUUUUAUUCACAAAUAAAUGGUUAUUUUUUAUUU